rnacentral:rRNA from 1 species
UUCUAACCGUAAACGAUGACAACCAGCGAUUAGUCGGUGUUAAUAUACGACCCGACUAGCAGCUUCCGGGAAACCAAAGUUUUUCGUUUCCGGGGGAAGUAUGGUUGCAAAGCUGAAACCUUAAAGGAAUUGACGGAAGGGCACCACCAGGAGUGGAGCCUGCGGCUUAAUUUGACUCAACACGGGAAAACUCACCCGGCCCGGACACCGUAAGGAUUGACAGACUGAGAGCUCUUUCUUAAUUCGGUGGGUGGUGGUGCAUGGCCGUUCUUAGUUGGUGGAGCGAUUUGUCUGGUUAAUUCCGAUAACGAACGAGACUCUGGCCUAUUAAAUAGUCGGUAUAUCCGGAAAAGUUUACCGUACUUCUUAGAGGGACAAACGGCGUCUAGCCGCGUGAAAUAGAGCAAUAACAGGUCUGUGAUGCCCUUAGAUGUCCGGGGCUGCACGCGCGCUACACUGAAAGAAUCAGUAUGCGCUUUAACCUAGCUCCGGAAGGAUUGGGUAACCCGAGCAAAUUCUUUCGUGCUUGGGAUAGGGAAUUGCAAUUAUUUCCCUUAA